rnacentral:rRNA from 1 species
UACGUAGGGGGCAAGCGUUGUCCGGAUUUAUUGGGCGUAAAGAGCGUGUAGGCGGCCAGGUAGGUCUGCUGUGAAAACUCGAGGCUCAACCUCGAGAUGUCGGCGGAAACCAUCUGGCUAGAGUCCGGAAGAGGAAAGUGGAAUUCCCGGUGUAGCGGUGAAAUGCGCAGAUAUCGGGAAGAACACCAGUGGCGAAGGCGGCUUCCUGGCCUGUUCUUGACGCUGAGGCGCGAAAGCUAGGGGAGCAAACGGG